UGUUAUUUUUAUGACUGUACAAUCAAUUAGGAAUAUAACAAUGUUGCCAGUCAGUUGAAUAAUGGAAUCAUACAAAAAAUACUAAAUGCACAUUUGCGUCGUGAUGCAAGAUUGUUUAGAAUAGUUCUGUAUCUACAGCUAGAGUUGUGAGCUGUAUGUCAGAACUAGUUGUAGAAUUGUCGUCAAAGAUGAAGAUUGAUUUAGAAGUUUUAGCCUGUACUAGUAUCAAGAGAAGAAAACCAUGGCCUCUCAUUCAAUGGGUUGGAAAGGAAAAAGAAAUUCUUCUGUUAUUGGAUGAAAAUCGUGUCAGUGUUUUAUACAUACCAUCAGGAAAGACAAAAAGGAAAAUACCAAAGUUGUCU